rnacentral:rRNA from 1 species
AGAACGAACGCUGGCGGCAGGCUUAACACAUGCAAGUCGAGCGCCCAGCAAUGGGAGCGGCGGACGGGUGCGUAACACGUGGGAACAUGCCUUUCGGUACGGAACAACUGCGGGAAACUGCAGCUAAUGCCGUAUACGCCCUUACGGGGAAAGAUUUAUCGCCGAAAGAUUGGCCCGCGUCUGAUUAGCUAGUUGGUGAGGUAACGGCUCACCAAGGCUUCGAUCAGUAGCUGGUUUGAGAGAACGACCAGCCACACUGGGACUGAGACACGGCCCAGACUCCUACGGGAGGCAGCAGUGGGGAAUCUUGGACAAUGGGCGAAAGCCUGAUCCAGCCAUGCCGCGUGAGUGAUGAAGGCCUUCGGGUUGUAAACCCCUUUCAGUAGGACGAAGCGCAAGUGACGGUACCUACAGAAGAAGCACCGGCCAACUACGUGCCAGCAGCCGC